ACACCCUGUGAUUAUAAAAAGACGCGUUAUUCUGAGGGAUUCCACUGGAUGGCAGUUUCUUUCUUUCCAUCUUUCUUUUUUAUUCCUUUUCUUUACCUCCUCUCUAUGAUGCUCCUCUAUCCCUCAUUCUUUAACUGCCAGUCAGUCCGCUGAUUGCGAUUAUGAGAUAUGAGGGUGU